rnacentral:snRNA from 1 species
UUACUUUUCGCUACAAACUCUAUUUUGGAUUUUGGGCGGAGUGCUUGAAGCUUGCUUCACCUCCGCCACGGGUUGGCCCGGUAUUUCACUGCCUCCGGGAUCGGCCCACUCACC